UGGGGAAUAUUGCACAAUGGGCGCAAGCCUGAUGCAGCCAUGCCGCGUGUAUGAAGAAGGCCUUCGGGUUGUAAAGUACUUUCAGCGGGGAGGAAGGGAGUAAAGUUAAUACCUUUGCUCAUUGACGUUACCCGCAGAAGAAGCACCGGCUAACUCCGUGCCAGCAGCCGCGGUAAUACGGAGGGUGCAUGCGUUAAUCGGAAUUACUGGGCGUAAAGCGCACGCAGGCGGUUUGUUAAGUCAGAUGUGAAAUCCUCGGGCUCAACCUGGGAACUGCAUCUGAUACUGGCAAGCUUGAGUCUCGUAGAGGGGGGUAGAAUUCCAGGUGUAGCGGUGAAAUGCGUAGAGAUCUGGAGGAAUACCGGUGGCGAAGGCGGCCCCCUGGACGAAGACUGACGCUCAGGUGCGAAAGCGUGGGGAGCAAACAGG
rnacentral:rRNA from 1 species